UACGGGGGGGAACGAGCGUUUAUUCGUCAUGUACUGGGCGUAAAGGAUACGUAGAUGGUUUUAAACAUGUUUGGUCAAAUUUGAAAAGUGGUAUGAGACUUAAAUAAAAGGGCCUUAACCCUUUUUUUAUAGUCGUUCGUUUGCCGUUUAAAACUAGAGUUAGGAAGAGGUUUGUGGUUAUUCUUGGUGGAGAUGUUAAAUGACAAAGAUAUUUUGACGACUAACAAUAUUGCGAAGGCGACUUUCUUUAGUACUAACUGACAUUGAGUUAUUAAAGUUGUGGGCAUCA
rnacentral:rRNA from 1 species